GGAAGAGUCCUCUCCCACUACAGACACUGUCGGAGGCUAGGAUAAGCCUAGCCUCCACUUAUAGUUAAGUUAGCAACCACCCCAAAUCUUCUUCACCGACAGGUCUCACAACCUUUAUCAUUUUUUUCUCUUUUUCUCCUUAGAUUGUCAAUAGCCUAAGCUCCUCUUGCUCGCUGGGAAAUGCAGACAAGCUUCACUGGAAUCAC
rnacentral:lncRNA from 1 species